rnacentral:rRNA from 1 species
GACGAACGCUGGCGGCGUGCUUAACACAUGCAAGUCGAACGAUGAAGCUGGAGCUUGCUCCGGUGGAUUAGUGGCGAACGGGUGAGUAACACGUGAGCAAUCUGCCCUUGACUCUGGGAUAACUGCGGGAAACUGUAGCUAAUACCGGAUACGAGGCUUGGAGGCAUCUCCAGGUCUGGAAAGAAUUUCGGUCAAGGAUGAGCACGCGGCCUAUCAGCUAGUUGGUGAGGUAAUGGCUCACCAAGGCGACGACGGGUAGCCGGCCUGAGAGGGUGACCGGCCACACUGGGACUGAGACACGGCCCAGACUCCUACGGGAGGCAGCAGUGGGGAAUAUUGCACAAUGGGCGAAAGCCUGAUGCAGCAACGCCGCGUGAGGGAUGAAGGCCUUCGGGUUAUAAACCUCUUUUAGCAGGGAAGAAGCGAAAGUGACGGUACCUGCAGAAAAAGCACCGGCUAACUACGUGCC